rnacentral:rRNA from 1 species
AUACGGAGGGUGCGAGCGUUAAUCGGAAUUACUGGGCGUAAAGCGUACGUAGGCGGUUGGUUAAGUUAGAUGUGAAAGCCCCGGGCUUAACCUGGGAACUGCAUUUAAAACUGGCGAACUAGAGUUGAGUAGAGGGGAGUGGAAUUUCAGGUGUAGCGGUGAAAUGCGUAGAGAUCUGAAGGAACACCAGUGGCGAAGGCGACUCCCUGGACUCGAACUGACGCUGAGGUACGAAAGCGUGGGUAGCAAACGGGAUUAGAAACCCGAGUAGUCC